CCUUACAGUUUUGAUCCUGGCUCAGGACGAACGCUUGGCGGCGUGCUUAACACAUGCAAGUCGAACGGAGAUUAGAAGGAAGCUUGCGAAUUCUAAACUUAGUGGCGCACGGGUGAGUAACGCGUGGAUAACCUGCCUGGUAGACCGGGAUAACAGCUGGAAACGGCUGCUAAUACCGGAUACGCUUAAGGGAACGCAUGUUCUUUUAAGGAAAGCAAUCGUGCCAUCAGAUGGAUCCGCGUCCCAUUAGCUAGUUGGUGGUGUAAGGGACCACCAAGGCGACGAUGGGUAGCCGGCCUGAGAGGGCGACCGGCCACACUGGGACUGAGACACGGCCCAGACUCCUACGGGAGGCAGCAGUGGGGAAUCUUCCGCAAUGGGCGAAAGCCUGACGGAGCAACGCCGCGUGAGGGAAGAAGGCCUUCGGGUUGUAAACCUCUGUCAUCAAGGAAGAACAGAUGACGGUACUUGGAGAGGAAGCCCCGGCUAACUACGUGCCAGCAGCCGCGGUAAAACGUAGGGGGCGAGCGUUGUCCGGAAUUACUGGGCGUAAAGGGCGCGUAGGUGGUCCAUUAAGUUAGAGGUGAAAGAUCGGGGCUCAACCCCGAGAUUGCCUCUGAUACUGGUGGACUUGAGUGCAGGAGAGGGGAGCGGAAUUCCCAGUGUAGCGGUGA
rnacentral:rRNA from 1 species